AUGACCAUCCCGGCAGUGCACUGCAGGUCCCCCUUGUCCUCCCAGGACGUUCCCAGCUCUCUGUGGACUUCUGCUCAGGGGAGAUGCUCGCGCCAGACAGUGCCAGGGACUUGGGUGCCACUGUGGAAGGGGAGGAAGCACCUGAAGAGGACAGAGAAAGGUGGCAGAAGACGGAGCUGUUUGUCAAGGAGAGCUUCGAGGCCAAGGACGAGCUAUUCCCAGAAAAGUCAGAAGAGUCGAGUCUCCCGGAGGAGCUGCCUGUGGAUGCUGACGGGGAGCCAGGAGUGGCGCUCCCUGCCAAGGCCCCGCCACCGAGCCCCGGAGCUGCCUGGGAAGAAUCAGCUCCCCAGACGGUGGCCACUGAAAGUGCAUCAGGUACAGAGCUCUGUGGAGCUGAAGAUUUGGAAGCCAUCAGACUGGAGACGAAGGAGAAGCUCUUCAUCGAUGUGCGUAAUUGGUGCAUCUGCAGAGAAGUAUCUGCGGUACAGCCGGUAUCAGAUCAGGCACAAAACCUCCAAAUCCUCGCUGCCCAGAGUGUGGCCCUUGGGCCAGCAGGCAUGGUCUCCCCUGAGGGCUGCUCAGAAGGCGGAACCCCGGGCCCCACCCCAGACCCACUGCUCAGGACCUGCAGUUAAUAAGCCCUCCCCCAGGGGCGUCUGUGUCUGUGCCCCUUCAAGACUGAGAAGUGAUGGCCCAGGCUGAGUCCCCUUGAACUACAUCUACAAAACUCUUGCCGUGUUUUCCCCGAGGAAGCUACACUGAGCGCAGCUCCGUCUGGCGAGCCUCUCCCUCUGUGGACAGCUGCCCGUCUUCCUGGCCUGACUGUCCAGCGGCCCGCCCCCUGGGGCUUGUUCAGUGAGGGGCCGCCUGACCUUGGGACUGAUCACAGCCCGGAGCACGGCCCUCCUCCCUGAAGCCCUUCCACUCUGAUAACAGUCUGACAUGCUGUGCCCACAGGAAUGGGUCUCUGGGGACGUACACACUUUGCCAUGACCCCCGGGAACGGUGCUUUGGUGGGGCGAGGGGUGGGGGCCGGCGACCCCCACCUGUAGCCUCACACCCUGCUCGCCCGGAGGACGGCCCGCCUCUCUGCCCACGAGUGAGCUCCUUCUGUUCAAGCCUGUGUGCAGCUUCGCCUGCCCUCGCCCGCUUCUUCUAUAAACUCCUACACGGGUGUUUCAUUCCCAACCUCACAAUUUCACGUGGCUCAAUAAGUGUUCAACUGCGUGCAGCCAAUAUUCAGAGUGGGUUUCUGGUUUUCUGGGCCUGCACAUACGUAUGACAAAAACAAAAGUGGGCAAUUCUUCCCUAACAUUUGAUAACUGACCGUAUACAGGACCCCAACACUAAGCUGGCACUGACCUUCCUCUUUGUCCGGCACUAUUUUAAACACAUCUUGUUAUCGAUUGAUUUAACCCUUCCAAUAACUCUAAGACAUAGGUACCAUUGUCAUCCCCAUUUUACAGAUGAGGAAAUUGAGAAAUACAGAGGUUAAGCAACUUGCCCGAGGCUCCACAGCCAGGCAGCGUGGCUCCAGGGCCCACACAGCUAACCACAGCCCGCGCCUGCCUCACACGCUGGACGGGGUGCUAUAGAUGGAGAUACCCCGAUACACAACACAAAACAGAAAAACCCCCCUAGUCUGGGGGAGGUCCAAAAUAGACUCGUUUUAUGCCACAGAGUCCUAAGACAAAUUUGUGUGCAGGAGGUACGUCUCCCCACAGAUGAACGGGGCGAGUAACACCAAAGUGAAGUGGAGAAAGAGGCGGAAAUUUCUGAAACAUGUCACACCUUGCAAAUCUCUUUCACUGAUCAGAUCCAGGUACCUGGUGUUGCCUCGUGCGUGUGUUUCGAGCGUGCACGUGGCCUGAGUGGUCUGGGUCACUCUGCGGGCCCCUCCACACUCCGAGCACGUAGCGCAGGCUUGGUUAGCUGUGUGGCCGCGUCUGUCCCGUGGACUGGGCGUUGGGAGCGUGCCCUCCUGCUGACGGGGAUCGUUUUCUCUUCCAGGACCUGCCUGACUUGGAAGACGUGGAUGCAGGCGGAUCUCCGGGAGACCAGCACGAGGUGACCUCUCACACAUCCCCCCAGCCCCACCUUCCCUUCCAGCCCUGUCACUGACCAAGUGUCUCGGAAAGCUGCAUGCCCUUUGUGCUUGAAGCCUCCUCACCUCACCUAAGGAAAUGCGGCUGUUUACUGCUGCUCCCCUCUCUGAGGUUUCACAACUACCCACUUCGGUUUUUUUGAACAGAUCUUUUAUCACUGAUUUUUAAUAAUCAUGUUCUGUAU
rnacentral:lncRNA from 1 species